ACUGGACUGCUGGUGUAUCUGUGAAGUGUUUGUGAGUGGAUCGAGCUGUUGCUGCCUGCUGACCCAUGAACUAAACUACCGAUUUCCAGACAUCACAAACAGGAGUUGCUCCAAAGAACCUUUCUAAACAGGUUGACUCUCCAAAUACUUGCCCGUCACGACUGAUAUUCUUCUGUGAGACGUGAGCAGAUGCUCCAACAACUGUCUGGAGCCUUGGAGUGUGUGCCCUUAUCCUUGGCAGGAGAAGCGUCUAUUUUUAGGAAGGGCUACAGGGCGUGCAGAGACACUCAGCCUGAGCUUGUUCGCUGGCAGUCAACUGGCCCAAGACCAAAGCAGCUAAUCAGCUCCGGGUUUAUUUUGGGGUUGGAGGGU